rnacentral:rRNA from 1 species
AACGAACGCUGGCGGCAUGCCUAACACAUGCAAGUCGAACGAGACCUUCGGGUCUAGUGGCGCACCGGUGCGUAACGCGUGGGAAUCUGCCCUUGGGUUCGGUAUACCAGUUGGAAACGACUGCUAAUACCGGUUGAUCACGUACGUCCUAAGAUCUAUCGCCAAGGGAUGAGCCCGUGUAGGCUUGGCUGGUUGGUGGUGUAAUGGCCUACCAAGGCGAGGAUGCUGAGCUGGUCGGAGAGCAUGACAAGCCACACUGGAACUGAGACACGGCCCACAAUGGUAGGCGAGGGAGCAGAGGGGAAUAUUGGGCAAGGGGCGAAGGCGUAGUAAAGCAACGCGGGGGAAGAGGUGAAGGGCGUAGGAUUGUAAAGCUCUUUUAGCCGGGGUGAGAGUGACGGUACCGGGAGAAUAAGCACCGGCUAACUCCGUG